GCCAGGUGCGGUGGUACAUGCCUGUGGUCCCAGCUACUCAGGAGGCUGUGGCUGGAGGAUGCUUGAGCCCAGGAGUUCUGGGCUGCAGUGCGCUAUGCCGAUCGGGUGUCCGCACUAAGUUGAGCAUCAACAUGGUGACCUCCUGGGAGCAGGGGACCACCAGGUUGCCUAAGGAGGGGGGAACCCGCCCAGGUCAGAAACGGAGCAGGUCAAAACUCCCGUGCUGAGCAGUAGUGGGAUCGCGUCUGUGAAUAGCCACCGCACUCCAGCCUGGGCAACAUAGUGAGACCCCGUCUCU
rnacentral:SRP_RNA from 1 species